UACGUAGGGUGCAGGCGUUAAUCGGAAUUACUGGGCGUAAAGCGUGCGCAGGCGGUUUGCUAAGACAGGUGUGAAAUCCCCGGGCUUAACCUGGGAACUGCGCUUGUUACUGGCAGGCUUAAGUGUGGCAGAGGGGGGUGGAAUUCCACGUGUAGCAGUGAAAUGCGUAGAGAUGUGGAGGAACACCGAUGGCGAAGGCAGCCCCCUGGGCUAACACUGACGCUCAUGCACGAAAGCGUGGGGAGCAAACAGG
rnacentral:rRNA from 1 species